rnacentral:sRNA from 1 species
AUGGUGUCCCUAAAACCACUGAAGGUGAAGUCGGGGGUUGUGAGACUGAAGCAGUCUCCCAUCACCAAAACGCUACGUAGGAGAAAAAACACUUUAUUCACCAUGGCACACGAGCUGCAUGUCGUGACGGGGGCAACUGUCAGAGUUGAGGUAUAUGUACCCAACUCUGACAACAGGUAUCUUUACCGGAGUCAUGGCUUGCCAGCAGAGAUGGAUGCAGCAACACAGACGGUUUCCGUUUAUGAGGAGGAGGACAAGUGCCGCAUAAAUCAGGCUAAUAUUGCAGAGAUGUCUUACACAACAACAUCUACAGAGAGACGGGACCUCCAACUGGGGUAUGAGGGGAGAACAGCCCGUCUUACCCUCUGGGGUGAGAUCGCCAAAUCCCCAAACGCCCCAGUUGGAGAGGUGUUCAAUAUUCUUUGCAUUCGACCAGCAAAUGAUUUUGCUGGUCAACGAUGUAACAAUUCAACACCAUCGACUUUGUUCGAGCCGGUGACCUUUGAAGACGAGGAGGUGGAGGCGUUUGAGGGACUGGUCGAGUCCGUUUCCUUUGAGAGUAGAAGACACCCUCUUGUCAAUCACCCCAGAGGUCGUUACGUCCGUGUUUGCAGAGAAGAAGUUCGAGGCAAACACGGAGACUUCUCAUCAGACUACUUACCGUACCUGGAACUUAUCAAGGAGUCGAUAUCAGGCGCGAGCGGCCAAUCCUGA